GACGAACGCUGGCGGCGUGCUUAACACAUGCAAGUCGUACGGGAAGGCCCUUUCGGGGGUCCACGAGUGGCGAACGGGUGAGUAACACGUGCGUAACCUGCCCACAACUUUGGGAUAACGCUACGAAACUGGGGCUAAUACUUGAUAUGUACUCCUGCUGCAUGGUGGGUGUUGGAAAGCUCCGUCGGUUGGGUAUGGACGUGGGGCCCAUCAGCUUGGUGGUGGGGUAGUGGCCUACCAAGGCGGAGACGGGUAGCCGGCCCGGGAGGGUGACCGGCCACAGUGGGACUGGGACACGGACCCGACUCCGACGGGAGGGAGAAGUGGGGAAUAUUGAACAAGGGGAGCAAGCCUGAUGCAGAACCGCCGCGUCCGGGAUGACGGCCUACGGGUUGGAAACCGCUUUCAGCAGGGCCGAAGAUUUUUGUGACGGUACCUGCAGAAGAAGCACCGGCUAACUCCGUG
rnacentral:rRNA from 1 species